AACUGCAGUCGAACGCGCAGCUUCUGUAGCAUACAGGUGUGGGCGCGUGGCGAACGGGUGCGUAACACGUGGAUAACCUUCCUUCAGGUGGGGAAUAACCCAGUGAAAACUGGGCUAAUACCGCAUAACAUGACGAUGGCACAUGCUGUUGUCUUCAAAGGCGCAAGUCGCCAGAAUGAGGGAUCCGCGGCCGAUUAGCUUGUUGGCGAGGUAAUGGCUCACCAAGGCAUUGAUCGGUAGCCGGACUGAUGAGGUUGGCCGGCCACACUGGAACUGAGACACGGUCCAGACUCAAUACGGGAGGCAGCAGUGGGGAAUCUUGCACAAUGGACGAAAGUCUGAUGCAUGCAACGCCGCGUGGGGGAUGAAGCUUUUCGGAGUGUAAACCCCUUUCGACCCGGAAGAAAGCCCGCAAGGGUUUGACGGUACGGGUAUAAGAAGCCCCGGGCUAACUACGUGCCAGCAGCCGCGGUAAAACGUAGGGGGCCAGCGUUGCUCGGAAUUACUGGGCGUAAAGGGUCCGUAGGCGGUGUGGCAAGUCGGUAGUGAAAUCUCUGGGCUUAACCC
rnacentral:rRNA from 1 species